rnacentral:rRNA from 1 species
GCCCUUGAGUUUGAUCCUGGCUCAGGAUGAACGCUAGCGGUAGGCUUAACACAUGCAAGUCGAGGGGCAUCACGUGUAGCAAUACAUGGUGGCGACCGGCGCACGGGUGAGUAACGCGUAUGCAACCUACCUUAUACUGGGGAAUAGCUCUCGGAAACGAGGAUUAAUGUCCCAUAGUAUUAUAGAACGACAUCGUUUUAUAAUUAAAGCUACGGCGGUAUAAGAUGGGCAUGCGUGCCAUUAGGUAGUUGGCAGGGUAACGGCCUACCAAGCCUAUGAUGGCUAGGGGUUCUGCAAGGAAGGUCCCCCACACUGGUACUGAGACACGGACCAGACUCCUACGGGAGGCAGCAGUGAGGAAUAUUGGUCAAUGGGCGCAAGCCUGAACCAGCCAAGCCGCGUGCAGGAAGACGGCCCUAUGGGUUGUAAACUGCUUUUAUACGGGAAUAAGGAAUCGUACGCGUUGCGGUUUCAGCAUGUACUGUAUGAAUAAGCAUCGGCUAACUCCGUGCCAGCAGCCGCGGUAAUACGGAGGAUGCAGGCGUUAUCCGGAUUUAUUAGGUUUAAAGGGUGCGUAGGCGGCAAUAUAAGUCAGGGGUGAAAUCUUGUAGCUCAACUACAAGUUUGCCUUUGAUAC